rnacentral:tmRNA from 1 species
GGGGGUGACAAGGUUUCGACGUGGGUUACAAAACCUAAGGGGCAUGCCGAGGCGCAGAUUACCUCGUAAAUCCUGCUGCAAAAUCAGAUAGUCGCCAACGACGACGUCUACGCCCUAGCUGCUUAAAGCUAGCCUCUGACUGUGUUCGUGCUUGUGCGCUCAGUGUUUGUUGUAAAAGGCAAACUUUAUCAGAGGUCAUCCCUCACGAGAUCGUAGAGACAGUAUGUCUGGGAUUGCUUCUACUAAACUUUAACCAGAAUCGUUGUGUUGCUGUCCUGCCUAUCGGAUGACAGACAACUAAACUUAAAGAUAGGACUAAGCAUGUAGAACCAAGGGCGGAGGACUUGCGGACGCGGGUUCGAUUCCCGCCGCCUCCACCA